rnacentral:rRNA from 1 species
UACGGAGAGUUUGAUUCUGGCUCAGAACGAACGCUGGCGGCGUGGAUAAGACAUGCAAGUCGAGCGAAACGAGCUUGAUGGUAACUGAUGGCGAGUUUAGCGGCGAACGGGUGAGUAACACGUAAGAAUCUGCCCUGAAGAAGGGGAUAGCCCGGGGAAACUCGGAUUAAUACCUAAUGUGGAGGCAACUCUAAAGGAUGAAUAAUCGCUUCAGGAUGAGCUUGCGGUCCAUCAGCUUGUUGGUGAGGUAACGGCUCACCAAGGCUGCGACGGAUAGCUGGUCUGAGAGGACGGUCAGCCACAAUGGAACUGAGACACGGUCCAUACACCUACGGG